AACGAACGUUGGCGGCGUGGAUUAGGCAUGCAAGUCGUGGGAAUCCCAGCAAUGGGGGAACCGGCGUAAGGGGCAGUAAGGCGUAGGUACCUACCCGGGGGUUGGGCAUAGCCCGUAGAGAUACGGGGUAAUUCCCAGCGAUGUCGAAAGACCAAAGCUCCGGCGCCCUCGGAGGGGCCUACGUGAUAUUAGCUAGUUGGUGAGGUAACGGCUCACCAAGGCGAAGAUGUCUAGCGGGUGGGAGAGCACGACCCGCGCCACUGGCACUGAGACACUGGCCAGACACCUACGGGUGGCUGCAGUCGAGGAUCUUCGGCAAUGGGGGCAACCCUGACCGAGCGACGCCGCGUGGGCGAUGAAGGCCUUCGGGUUGUAAAGCCCUGUCGAGGGGGAGAAAAGCCAAAGGCUUGAUCUAUCCCUGGAGGAAGCACGGGCUAAGUUCGUGCCAGCCGCCGCCGUAACAC
rnacentral:rRNA from 1 species